GAUGAAGAACGCAGCGAAAUGCGAUAAGUAAUGUGAAUUGCAGAAUUCAGUGAAUCAUCGAAUCUUUGAACGCACAUUGCGCCCGUCAGUAUUCUGGCGGGCAUGCCUGUUCGAGCGUCAUUACGCCCCUCAAGUCCCCUGUGGACUUGGUGUUGGGGAUCGGCGAGGCUGGUUUUCCAGCACAGCCGUCCCUUAAAUUAAUUGGCGGUCUCGCCGUGGCCCUCCUCUGCGCAGUAGUAAAACACUCGCAACAGGAGCCCGGCGCGGUCCACUGCCGUAAAACCCCCCAACUUUUUAUAGUUGACCUCGAAUCAGGUAGGACUACCCGCUGAACUUAACCAUAUCAAUAAGCGGAGGA
rnacentral:misc_RNA from 1 species